rnacentral:rRNA from 1 species
AUUGAACGCUGGCGGCAUGCCUUACACAUGCAAGUCGAACGGUAGAGUAGCGAUACUCGAGAGUGGCGAACGGGUGAGUAAUGUAUCGGAACGUGCCCAAUUGUGGGGGAUAACGUAGAGAAAUUUACGCUAAUACCGCAUAAGAUCUAAGGAUGAAAGCGGGGGAUCGCAAGACCUCGCGCAAUUGGAGCGGCUGAUAUCAGAUUAGGUUGUUGGUGAGGUAAAAGCUCACCAAGCCGACGAUCUGUAGCUGGUUUGAGAGAACGACCAGCCACACUGGGACUGAGACACGGCCCAGACUCCUACGGGGGGCAGCAGUGGGGAAUUUUGGACAAUGGGCGAAAGCCUGAUCCAGCAAUGCCGCGUGCAGGAAGAAGGCCUUCGGGUUGUAAACUGCUUUUGUACGGAACGAAACGGUCCUUUUUAAUACAAGGGGCUAAUGACGGUACCGUAAGAAUAAGCACCGGCUAACUACGUGCCAGCAGCCGCGGUAACAC